rnacentral:sRNA from 1 species
CGAUAGCUAUCGGAUGCAGCGAACAUACCGAUUCUUCAUCGGUAUAAAGCAUAAAACGGGACUGAAG